UCCUUAUGGCACAAGUGAGAAGGCACCACAUGAAAGGGGAAGCGGCCAGCGUAGGAGGAGAGAAGAGGCAAAAAUCCUUCGUAUGCGUUUUGCUUCAAACAAUCCUGUGAAUGUUGCUUUGGAAGAAAAAAAAAAAAAAAAAGUCUUUUUAGUCAAUAAUCAACCCCACACUUUCUUCUGAAACUGCUGAUCUGCCAUUCGCCCACUUGCCCGGCCAAAUACUGAGAGGCAGCGCUGCGCCCCGGCGGAGCCCCCCGGACUGGCGAGGAGGAUUUGGACAGGGAGAGAAAAGAUGGGGACUGCCGAAACCUGCGGACACCGGGGACCCUGCCGGUUUGGGGUGCCCGCCGAAAACUGGGCCAGUUUUUCCUAAGAGCGCGUUUCAACUUGGGAGCCAUCUCCAGCGGGAUUUUCUGACCAAAUAAGACGAGCAAUUACAAACAGCGCGUAACUGGACACAAAAUGGCUCAACAAGAAUAAGCGAGAGGCAUGGAACGAACUGGAGGAAAAUCCCCAGUCAGAGAGGCAGAAUAAACCCCCACAUUUUCAAGGCUGAUUUAUUGUUAGAAGCCGUGGCUGGCUCUUGGUUCAGCUCCUUCUCACCGCGGAGAAAUAAAGAGGAGCGCCUUGGCUCAUUUGGGAAGGGGAAGCUUUGCCAUGGAGCUGAGCACUCAUGCAGCGCUCCUCGCACAAUAAACAAAGUACCACUAAAGCAUCAUAAAUAAAAUGGCAGCACGAUCGCACAGUCAUCGAUUUACGGAGCGGCAGCGGCCGAACAAACACCCAUAAAACAACAACGCCGCCGCACACUCGAGCACGACCCCGACAGAGGAGCAUCACACACCCCCCACAUCGUUUUCUCCGACUUGCCCAAAUACAUAAAUAAAUAAACACACAAACACGCAAAUAAAAUAAUAGAAUAAAAUUAAGGGGGGGAAAUAUUCAAACACGACAAUAAAAAAGGCUUCCUAUCUCCAGCCGGUCAUAAAUAAUGGUAAAAUGGCAAUCGAGGGGCUGUAGCGGAGGCAGCUGGCCAUCAACAGCAGUGUGGGAUCUCUAUGGAGAAAAAUAAAUAAAGAAGCAAACUCUGCCUGCUCUGCUCGCUGCAAGGGUAGAGUUGAAUAUUUACCACAGCAAAUUGAAACAAAGGGGGAAGCAGCCUGGCUCCGGGUGCACACACACCCGCACGCACACACACGCACUCACUCCAGCCUCUGCUACUGACCUUUGCCUCGAACAGCAAUAACUCACCACAUAAAUGAACAAUCAACGGAAAUACCUUAAAAUAAAA